UUUGGUGCUAUGAUUGUAAAAAUUCUUCAUCCUGAAUUGUCAAUGGCAUGACAAACUCUUUUUACCUAGAUAAUAUGAGCAAUA